CGCAAAUUAACAAAAUAGAGGCGGUUAUGCUAGUGGUCUGGGCUUCUGCUACAAAAGGCACCAACACCAAUUCCCGCAAUCAAAUCAUGAAGAGAGCUAGCGGCCCUAAGUGCCCCCGUGGCCGUCACUCACUCACUCUAACCCUAGGUUCUCUUCGACCACCAACGCAAAACCAACAUCGAUCAUCACCCUCGGCGUCUCCAUCAGAACCCCAGAACCACCACUUUCAUCAUCAUCUUCUUCUUCCCUUCUUUCUUUUUCUUCUUCUUCCACCUUCGCCGAACAACCACCGCGAAAACCCUUUCUCUCUUUCUCUUCCCCAGUCUCUUGCCUUCUCUGUCUCGCCGCCGGGGGCUACCAUCCUGUACCGUCGCGACCAUCUUCUUCCCCUCCUUACAACCUCACAUUGUGGCUCUCUAGAUGGCCCUUGCCUCCCUCAUUCCCAGUCACAGAAUCAGAACAGAGCCACUCUAGUUCCAGUGAGUUCAAACGCAGCAGCGACUGGUCACUGCCACUACAUCCCUCUCUCCUUUGUUCUUGCUCUGUUCUUUGACUCAGGAGCCAGAUGCCACCCUUAGGAACAGAGGAUUAGGCCGCCUUGCUUCUUGCUUUGUGAACUCCUUGGCAACAUUGAAUUACCAUGCAUGGGGUUUUGGUCUAAGAUACAAGUAUGGUUUGUUCAAACGACUUAUAAGGAAGGAUGGUCAAGAGGAAGUUGCUGAAAGCUGGCUCGAAGUAUUUACAUAUAUGCAUCAAUUUGCAGAUCGCGGGCACUAUUCUGUGGAAACUGUUACAAUUCUGGUGGCCUUGAAAGUUCGCUACAGGGAUAGAAUUACACUUACCUGGGGAAAUCAUGAGAGCCAUCAAAUUACUUAAGUACUUUUCUCUUCAAUGACUAUAGGGACAAUCAGGUCACUCUUUGAGGCAAAUUUUUUCCUCACCGAAUAUGAUUUAAGAUCAGUCACAUUAUGUUUGUAAAUUCAGCCAUCCAGAUUUUGCUUUUAUAAAGCAGAAAAACCAAUGUAUACAUCAAGGAGAAACUUACCGCCAUCGAAUAUUGACAAUAGCAAGAUUGUUUACUCAAUAGUAUCGCAUAGAUGAAUUCCGUGGAAGGACAGAGACAAAAUAGAAUCCUAGGAUUGGACUUAUUUUGAUUUGAAGCAAACAUUUUUUUGAAUAUCAUUAUGCAAUUCUUAGCAAGAGAUUUAUUAUGUUGAUAUUUUUAUCAAGAUAUUAUUUUGUUUUCCAGUUAAUUUUGUUAUUUUUGCCA